GACGGGGGGUCCUAGCGUUGUUCGGAAUUAUUGGGCGUAAAGCGUGUGCAGGUUGUCUGAAAAGUUGGAUGUGAAAUCCUUGGGCUUAACCCAAGACGUGCAUUCAAAACUGUCAGACUUGAAUAUCAAAGAGGAUCGUGGAAUUCCUAGUGUAGUGGUGAAAUACGUAGAUAUUAGGAGGAACACCGGUGGCGAAGGCGGCGAUCUGGUUGAAUAUUGACACUCAUACACGAAAGCGUGGGGAUCAAACAGG
rnacentral:rRNA from 1 species